GCCUGGUUGGCUCAGUUGGUUAAGCAUCUGCCUUUGGCUCAGGUCAUGACCCCAGGGGCUUGGGAUCCAGUCCCACAUCAGGCA
rnacentral:tRNA from 1 species